AACGAACGCUGGCGCAGGCUUAACACAUGCAAGUCGAACGAGUGUAGCAAUACACUAGUGGCGCACGGGUGAGUAACACGUGGAUAUCUGCCUUUUGGUUCGGGAUAACCCUGGGAAACUAGGGCUAAUACCGAAUGGUUCCUACGGGAUAAAGAUUUAUCGCCAAAAGAUGAGUCCGCGUCCGAUUAGCUAGUUGGUGAGGUAAUGGCUCACCAAGGCGACGAUCGGUAGCUGGUCUGAGAGGACGAUCAGCCACACUGGGACUGAGACACGGCCCAGACUCCUACGGGAGGCAGCAGUGGGGAAUAUUGGACAAUGGGGGCAACCCUGAUCCAGCCAUGCCGCGUGAGUGAUSAAGGCCUUCGGGUUGUAMAGCUCUCUUGGCGGGGGCGAUGAUGACGGU
rnacentral:rRNA from 1 species